rnacentral:rRNA from 1 species
UACAGAGGGUGCGAGCGUUAAUCGGAAUUACUGGGCGUAAAGCGCGCGUAGGCGGCUUUGCAAGUCGGGUGUGAAAUCCCCAGGCUUAACCUGGGAACUGCAUUCGAGACUGCAUUGCUAGAGUAUGGGAGAGGGAAGUGGAAUUUCCGGUGUAGCGGUGAAAUGCGUAGAUAUCGGAAGGAACAUCAGUGGCGAAAGCGACUUCCUGGACCAAUACUGACGCUCAUGUGCGAAAGCGGGGGGAGCAGACAGG